GCGAGACACGGGAAGAGAGGUCAAAGGCGCUCUACACACCGGCAGUGAAAGGAGUGAAUUCUCAUCUUAUUCAGAGAAAGACGGAACCUCUAAAACAGUGGUCGUCAAUGAUGUGGGAAGAGUGGAUUUGAGCGUCGAAGGAGAUUUCACAGAGUCAGGAGACAUUUUUGAUUGCCAUCAUGAGAGGGAUGAGCGUGCUUCUGGAAUCUGAUUUGCAACCUAAAUAUGAAUCAGUACAUGAAUGGAUAAAAAAAAAAAUAUGGUAUCUACACACACACACAAUGUAAUUCAGCUUUAAGAGAAGAAGGAAAUCCUACUAUUUGCAACAAUGAGAAUGGACUUGGAAGACAUUGUCCUAAUUAAAUAAAG